CGCGUAGGCGGUUUGGUAAGUUGGGUGUGAAAGCCCAGGGCUCAACCCUGGAACUGCACUCAAAACUGCCUUACUUGAAUUCGGUAGAGGUUGGUGGAAUUCCCAGUGUAGAGGUGAAAUUCGUAGAUAUUGGGAAGAAUAUCCGUGGCGAAGGCGGCCAACUGGACCGACAUUGACGCUGAGGCGCGAAAGCGUGGGGAUCAAACA
rnacentral:rRNA from 1 species